UACGGGGGGAGCAAGCGUUGUUCGGAUUUACUGGGCGUAAAGGGCGCGUAGGCGGCCACCGCAAGUCGACUGUGAAAUCUCCGGGCUUAACCCGGAAAGGUCAGCCGAUACUGCGGGGCUAGAGUGCAGAAGGGGCAACUGGAAUUCUCGGUGUAGCGGUGAAAUGCGUAGAUAUCGAGAGGUACACCUGCGGCGAAGGCGGGUUGCUGGGCUGACACUGACGCUGAGGCGCGAAAGCUAGGGGAGCGAACGGG
rnacentral:rRNA from 1 species